GAGUUUGAUCGUGGCUCAGGACGAACGCUGGCGGCGUGCUUAACACAUGCAAGUCACGGGGGUCCCGCAAGGGAUAACCGGCGAACGGGUGCGUAACACGUGAACAACCUGCCCUCGUGUGGGGAUAGCCGGGCUAACGCCCGGGUAAAUACCGCAUACGGUCCUUCGGGGAGUCCCUGGGGAAGAAAGCUCCGGCGCACGGGGAGGGUUCGCGGCCUAUCAGCUAGGUUGGGGGGUAAUCGGCCCACCAAGGCGACGACGGGUAGCUGGUCUGAGAGGAUGGCCAGCCACAUUGGGACUGAGAGACGGCCCAGACUCCUACGGGAGGCAGCAGUGGGGAAUCUUGCGCAAUGGCCGAAAAGGCUGACGCAGCGACGCCGCGUGUGGGAGGACGCCUUUCGGGGUGUAAACCACUGUUGCCCGGACGAACAUCCCUUUCGAGGGACGUGACGGUACCGGGUGAGGAAGGCACCGGCUAACUCCGUGCCAGCCGCCGCGGUAAC
rnacentral:rRNA from 1 species